AUCCUCGUUGGGAUGUUAGGGAAUGUCAAGAAUAUUUUCUUCCCUGAUUCAAGUGAAUUUGGAGGUGCUGCACCAAGCACAACUGAUAUGAGGGCAUCCAUUCUUGAGAGGCAAGUGAGAGGAAGAGUCUUAUCCACAUGGAGUACUAACCACCAAGAUACGUGACUGCAGAUGUCCUCACAAGACCACUUUUCCAGAGACCCAAGAUGAAUCCUGUGGCCUUUUAUGCAAGCAUUGCAUUGCUGAGAAGGAGUGUUAGAAGAAGGGCAACAAUCUUGUACUUACGGACCCACAUGUAGCCAGCUGGAGUCUCUCAAUAAACAAACGGGCAUAGCUGGAAGGUAUUUUAAAAUGGUAAACAGAAGAACCCCUCUGAAUCUGAGACGUGCACGGAACAACUGCAGCCGAAGGAAGAGCCUGGGAGCAGAAGUGGCAAGAGGUCUCCCUCUCCCUUUCUCUCUUGCCCCAAACCUCACGAUGCUUUGCAGAUGCAGUGGAAACUGGCCAAGAUGUGCUCACACAGCCCAGAGGCUCUCAGAAGAACCCUCUGGACAGCAUCCUGACGAGCCGCCCGUGGUCAUGGCCUGGGAGAUGGGUUUAUCUUCCAAGGAUCACUGACUGCCGAGUGUUAUGGGAAGGGCCUGAACAAUGGACCCAGUGCCGAAGAGCCAAAGGAGGCAGCUGGAUCUCAGGGUUGAACUGGACAUUAGGGGGCGAGGCUAUGACCUACCUGAAGGUCUGGUUUCUAUGAUGUAGCCGGUGGUGGGCUUGUCUCCCGAGAGUCCCUCAGUCCAGUACAAAG